rnacentral:rRNA from 1 species
UACGGAGGGUGCGAGCGUUGUUCGGAAUUACUGGGCGUAAAGGGCGCGUAGGCGGCCCGUCAAGUCCCGUGUGAAAGCCCCCGGCUCAACCGGGGAACGGCGCGGGAAACUAGCAGGCUUGAGUUCGGGAGAGGGAAGCGGAAUUCCGGGUGUAGCGGUGAAAUGCGCAGAUAUCCGGAGGAACACCGGUGGCGAAGGCGGCUUCCUGGACCGACACUGACGCUGAGGCGCGAAAGCUAGGGGAGCAAACGGG